CACGUGCUCUUCGACUGCGGUCCAGGAUCGGAUGUCCCCAAGCUCGGCCUUCCACCUACUGAACUACGACAGUUGGUUUCACUCAGAGAUAAACGAUUUCCAUUUCUCACUGCCAAGAAAAUGACCUAAAGAUGAUGAACGGCCUUGCAAUACUUGAUAUAGGUCGGAUACCGAACCCAGUUACAAUAAAGCGAUCGAUCUCCAUGACUUCCAUUAUUGACACAAUAAUGAAGAAAAAGGAUAAUUUCAUUGAAAGAAAGAUUUUUAUAAGAUUCUGAUCGGUCUGUUACAAAAUACCUUGG
rnacentral:lncRNA from 1 species